rnacentral:rRNA from 1 species
GUGGGGAAUAUUGGACAAUGGGCGCAAGCCUGAUCCAGCCAUGCCGCGUGUGUGAAGAAGGUCUUCGGAUUGUAAAGCACUUUAAGUUGGGAGGAAGGGCAGUAAGUUAAUACCUUGCUGUUUUGACGUUACCGACAGAAUAAGCACCGGCUAACUUCGUGCCAGCAGCCGCGGUAAUACGAAGGGUGCAAGCGUUAAUCGGAAUUACUGGGCGUAAAGCGCGCGUAGGUGGUUUUGUAAGUUGGAGGUGAAAUCCACGGGCUCAACCUGGGAACUGCCUCCAAAACUGCAUGACUAGAGUACGGUAGAGGGUAGUGGAAUAUCCUGUGUAGCGGUGAAAUGCGUAGAUAUAGGAAGGAACACCAGUGGCGAAGGCGACUACCUGGACUGAUACUGACACUGAGGUGCGAAAGCGUGGGGAGCAAACAGGAUUAGAAACCCCAGUAGUCC